rnacentral:rRNA from 1 species
UGGGGAAUCAUGGUCAAUGGGCGAAAGCCUGAACCUGCGACGCCGCAUGAGUGAUGAAGGUCUUCGGAUUGUAAAGCCCUGUCGUCAGGGAAGAAGGUGCAGGACAGGAAAUGGUUUUGCGCUUGACGGUACCUGGAGAGGAAGCCCCGGCUAACUCUGUGCCAGCAGCCGCGGUAAUACAGAGGGGGCAAGCGUUAUUCGGAAUUAUUGGGUGUAAAGGGCGCGUAGGCGGUUUUUUAAGUGAGAUGUGCAAUCCCCGAGCUUAACUUGGGAACUGCAUCUCAUACUGGGAAGCUAGAGUGCUGGAGAGGGUGGUGGAAUUCCACGUGUAGCGGUGAAAUGCGUAGAGAUGUGGAGGAACACCAGUGGCGAAGGCGGCCACCUGGACAGCAACUGACGCUGAGGCGCGAAAGUGUGGGUAGCAAACA